AUGCCGCCGCUCCUCGUCCGACACUCGGUACUUAUCUUCAUUAUCCCCGCCAUGCUCCUCACCCUCCUCGGGCUCCCACCAACUGCUACGCUCGCCACCAGGUUCUACUCGUUCGACCUGAUGCGCGAGUACCCUCACGAUCCGGAGGCCUUCACAGAGGGCCUCUUGUAUGGAGGAAAUGACACUCUUUUCGAGUCCACUGGCCUUUUUGGCAGGUCAUCCGUGCGAAAGGUUGAUCUUCAAACAGGAAAGGUUUUAGUUCUGCACCAAAUGGACGAGAAAAUGUUUGGAGAAGGUCUAACACUUCUCGGCGAUAGAUUGUUUCAACUUACUUGGUUGACGAAUGUUGGAUUUACGUACGAUCGACACAACUUUAGUAAAUGUGGUAGUUUUUCCCACAAAAUGCGUGACGGGUGGGGGCUAGCUACAGAUGGGAGGGUUGUUUUCGGCAGUGAUGGUACCUCAACUUUGUACCAGAUAGAUCCAGAAUCUCAUCAGGUCAUGAGGAUGGUGCCUGUGAAAUAUCAAGAUAAUGACGUUAGGUAUCUUAAUGAACUUGAAUACAUAAACGGUGAAGUAUGGGCAAAUGCCUUCAAGACAGAUUGCAUCGCUAUAAUUUCCCCUGAUAGUGGCAUAGUGGUGGGUUGGGUUUUUCUUCAUGAGCUGAGGCAUCACUCACCGAAUUCAGGUAAUAUGGCUCAUGACGUUCUAAAUGGUAUAGCUUGGGAUGAAGACAACCACAGAUUGUUCGUGACCGGAAAAUUAUGGCCAACGCUAUAUGAGAUUAAGCUACGUCACAUUGAGGGGCCACCAGAUGGGUCUAUAGAGCAGCUAUGUCCAAGGAUCAUAAUUCCGGGUUCCGGGAAUUUUCCCUUGUUAUGA
rnacentral:rRNA from 1 species